rnacentral:misc_RNA from 1 species
GUUUUUCUCUCUUUUCUCUGAGAUUUCCUUUUAGUUUUCUAAGGCAGAGGCCUAUGUUAUGCGAAUCGUAACAGCCAUUCCUUGCCUUUUCCGAGCAAGGGAUGGCCCUCCAUGCCUCACCGAUCAUGGGUUUCCUUCCCCUCUCUCAUGUGGGGUUGCACAUAGGUGUUUUGGGGUUGAGUUUGUGGCUUGCAGGUCGAUUGUUCAUGGUGAAGGAAUCUUGCAACCUGUCCAAGAUUUAUUUUUGGUUGCAUAUAGGAUGAAGUUUGACCGGAGAGGACACUUCCCUCUUCUUCCUACCUGCACUUGCGUGGCCAUGUUGUUUAGAGAAGCUGUGAUUUUGUGACUUAGGCUCUCUGUGUUCAGCCUGCAGGAAAGUGCAUUUAGUUUUAGGCCGUGAUGAUGGUCAACUCCGAGGUCCAAUAGCCAGCUUUUAGUUGCCUGACCCUUGAAAGCUCAGAAUACUAUAGGAGCUCUAGCCGUCGACUCUUCCGCAGAUCAGAGAUGGUGGAUCUUUGUUUCUUUGCCUCAUGGAAAGGACGGUUCUUAAGUGAGAGCUGAUGGUGUUGUUCAUAUGUGUAAUCUUGAGAGUUUCUUUCCAUGGAAGACUAGCGGGGUGGGAGACGAGUGAUGGGUGGCGGUGACGCUGUUCCAAGAUUUGCGUAGUAUUUUUUUUUUUUCUCCUUCAGUCCCUAGGGUUAGCUUUAUGGGCCUUUGGGCCGGUUUAAUUAGAAGAGCUUGUUAGACCCCUUUUUAUCUUCGUAAUAUUUAGGCUUUACUUUGGGUUAAUGUUGUGAGCCCAUAUCUGUAUUUACCUAGUUGCAGUUGAACGAACACUUUUACUUGCUAG